rnacentral:rRNA from 1 species
UACGUAGGGUGCGAGCGUUAAUCGGAAUUACUGGGCGUAAGGCGUGCGCAGGCGGUUCGUUGUGUCGGCGGGGAAAGCCCCGGGCUUAACCUGGGAAUGGCAGUGGAUACUGGAAAGCUAGAGUGCGGUAGAGGGUAGUGGAAUUCCCGGUGUAGCAGUGAAAUGCGUAGAGAUCGGGAGGAACACCAGUGGCGAAGGCGGCUACCUGGACCAGCACUGACACUGAGGCGCGAAAGCUAGGGGAGCAAACGGG